rnacentral:rRNA from 1 species
AACGAACGCUGGCGGCAGGCUUAACACAUGCAAGUCGAGCGCCUCGCAAGGGGAGCGGCAGACGGGUGAGUAACGCGUGGGAACGUACCCUUUACUACGGAAUAGCUCCGGGAAACUGGAAUUAAUACCGUAUGUGCCCUUGGGGGGAAAGAUUUAUCGGUAAAGGAUCGGCCCGCGUUGGAUUAGCUAGUUGGUGGGUAAAAGGCCUACCAAGUCGACGUUCCAUGGCUGGCCUGUGAGGAUGUUCAGCCAGAUUGGUACUGAAACACGGCCCAACCUCCUACGGGAGGCAGCAUUGGGGAAUAUUGGACAAUGGGCGCAAGCCUGAUCCAGGCAUUCCGCGUGAGUGACGAAGGUCUUCGGAUUGUAAAGCUCUGUCCUCUGGGACGAAUAAAGUGACGGUACCAGAGGAGGAAGCCCCGGCUAACUACGUGCCAGCCGCCGCAGUAACAC